rnacentral:rRNA from 1 species
UACGGGGGGGGCAAGCGUUGUUCGGAAUUACUGGGCGUAAAGGGUCUGUAGGUGGCCAACUAAGUCAGACGUGAAAUCCCUCAGCUUAACUGGGGAACUGCGUCUGAUACUGGUUGGCUUGAGUGCAGGAGAGGAAUGCGGAAUUCCAGGUGUAGCGGUGAAAUGCGCAGAUAUCAGGAGGAACACCGAUGGCGAAGGCAGCUCGCUGGGACGGUACUGACGCUGAGACGCGAAAGCGUGGGGAGCAAACAGG